rnacentral:rRNA from 1 species
UUGCUUCCUUGAGACCGGCGCACGGGUGCGUAACGCGUAUGCAAUCUACCUUGUACAGGAGGGAUAGCCCAGCAGAAAUUUGUGAUUAAUACCUCAUAGUAUUAUUGAAUGGCAUCAUUUAAUAAUUAAAGUUCCAACGGUACAAGAUGACCAUGCCUCCUAUUAUCUAUUUGGUGUGGUAACGGCAUACCAAGGCUACGAUAGGUAGGGGUCCUGAGAGGAAGAUCCCCCACGCUGGUACUGAGACACGGACCAUACUCCUACGGGAGGCAGCGGUGAGGAAUAUUGGACGAUGGGCGCAAGCCUGAUCCAGCCAUGCCGCGUGCAGGAAGACCCAUCUAUGGUGUGUAAACUGCUUUUGUACGGAAAGAAACACUCCCUCGUGAGGGAGCUUGACGGUACCGUAAGAAUAAAGAUCGGCUAACUCCGUGCCAGCAGCCGCGGUAAUACGGAGGAUCCAAGCGUUAUCCGGAAUCAUUGGGUUUAAAGGGUUCCGUACGCGGUUUAAUAAAUCAGUGGUGAAAGCCCAUCGCUCAACCGAUGGAACGGCCAUUGAUACUGUUAGACUUGAAUUACAAGGAAAUAACUAGAAUAUGUAGUGUAGCGGUGAAAUGCUUAGAUAUUACAUGGAAUACCAAUUGCGAAGGCAGGUUACUACUUGUGGAUUGACGACUGAUGGACGAAUGCGUGGGGAGCGAACAGGAUUAGAUACCCUGGUAGUCCACGCCGUAAACGAUGGAUACUAGCUGUUGGGGGUAACUUCAGUGGCAUAAGCGAAAAGUGAUAACGUAUCCCACCUGGGGAAGUACGUUCGCAAGAAUGAAACUCAAAGGAAUUGACGGGGGCCCGCACAAGCGGUGGAGCAUGUGGUUUAAUUCGAUGAUACGCGAGGAACCUUACCAAGGCUUAAAUGUAGAUUGACAGGUUUGGAAACAGACUUUUGUUCGGACAAUUUCCAAGGUGCUGCAUGGUUGUUGUCAGCUCGUGCCGUGAGGUGUCAGGUUAAGUCCUAUAACGAGCGCAACCCCUGUUGUUAGUUGCCAGCGAGUCGUGUCGGGAACUCUAGCAAGACUGCCAGUGUAAACUGUGAGGAAGGUGGGGAUGACGUCAAAUCAUCACGGCCCUUACGCCUUGGGUUACACACGUGCUACAAUGGACGGUACAGAGAGCAGCCAGUACGUGAGUAGGAGUGAAUCUAUAAAACCGUUCUCAGUUCGGAUCGGAGUCUGCAACUCGACUCCGUGAAGCUGGAAUCGCUAGUAAUCGGAUAUCAGCCAUGAUCCGGUGAAUAGCGUUUCCCGGGCCUUGUACCAGCACCCGCCCGUGCAAGCCCAUGGAAGCUGGGGGUAACGCUGAA